rnacentral:tRNA from 1 species
GGUGGCUCAGUGGUAGAGCGCUUGCCUUGAAUACUAGAGGACCUGAGUUCGAUUCCUCAGCACCA